GACGAAGGGGGCUAGCGUUGUUCGGAAUUACUGGGCGUAAAGCGCGCGUAGGCGGCUCUUCAAGUCAGGCGUGAAAGCCCCGGGCUUAACCCGGGAAUAGCGCUUGAUACUGUUGGGCUUGAGUCCGGGAGAGGAUAGUGGAAUUCCCAGUGUAGAGGUGAAAUUCGUAGAUAUUGGGAAGAACACCAGUGGCGAAGGCGGCGACCUGGUCCUUGACUGACGCUGAGGCG
rnacentral:rRNA from 1 species